GGACCUGGCGGGGCAGCGCGGCCCCCUCGCCGGGCGGCCGGGCCCGCCUCCCCGCUCCCCGAUGCAGUCCCCGCCGGACUCCGCGAGGAGGAGUCCCCGCGCCGCCCGCCCGCUCCGUCCUUCCCGGCCGCCGGCGCUGAGGACCCAGCCAUGGAGCGGCGGCUGCCGAUGCGCUUCUUCUCCCGAGCAGCCUCGGCCGCCGGCCGCAUCCCCAGCCCCGGCACCGUGGGCUGAAGCGCCGGCUGCAGCCCGGACCCGCCGCCCGGGAGCGGGGCGCCCCACGGCUCCGGAGGAGGUUCUUAGAAAUGGACUCCUUGAGGACCUGCUCCAUGAUCUUUCCAGAAAUUGAGUUGCCUGGGACCUCUCCUGAUCACCAUGAGCUUUCAAAGAUGAUGGCCAGUGGCUCUGCAAUCACAUCAGCAAUUCCACCAGCACCAUCAGGUGCUUCAUGUCUGGCCCCAUGAACUUAUAUACAUACAGCUUCCCUAAGGAGUCAUUUACCUGUUCUUUCACCACCUCCUCCCCAAACUGUGCUGUCAGGUGCAGUAGUCUGGGAGCUGACCUUGCCUGUGAAGACUGAGGUGAAAAAGCCAUUGAGUACUUUAGUCUUUUCUGCAUCCUUUGUCACUAGGUUGCCUCCCCCAUUCAGUAAGGGAUCCACACUUUCCCUGAUCUUCCUUUUGUUGCUUAAAUACUUGUAGAAACCCUUCUUAUUACCUUUCAUGUCCCUUGCUGGCUGUAACUCCAAUUGUGCUUUGGCCUUCCUGAUUUCAUCCCUGCAUGCCCGAGCAACACUCUUAUACUCCUCCCUGGUUGUUUGUCCUUGUUUCCACUUCUUGUAAACUUCCUUUUAAUGUUUUAGCUCACUGAAGAGUUCUCUGCUAAGCCAAGCUAGAUUUCUGCCACACCUGCUAGUCUCCCUGUGCAUUGGGAUGAUCCAUUCCUGUGGCCUCAGUAAGGUCUCUUUAAAGUACAGCCAUCACUCCAGGAUUUCUAUCACCCUCAGACUAGCCUCCCAGGGGAUCUUGCCCAUCUGUUCCCUGACUGAGUUGAAGUCUGAAGUCCAGGGUCCUUACUCUGCUGUUCUCCUUCCUUCCUUUCCUUUGGAUACUUAACUCAGUCAUUUUGUGGUUGUUGCUGCCAACCAUUUCUACAUUCCCCACCAAUUCUUCACUGUUUUGAACAGCAGGUCAAGAAGAUCAUGGCCCCUAGUAGGCUCUGCAACACAUGCACCAGGAAGUUGUCCCCAUCACUUUGCAAAAACUUCCUGGAUUAUCUGCGUAUUGCUGUAUUGCCCUCCCAGAUGUCAGGGUGAUUGAAGUUCCUCAUGAGAACCAGGAUCUGUGACCAGGAAACUUCUGCUGGCUGUUUAAAGAAAGCUUCAUCAUCUUAAUGUCCUGGUCUGGUGGAGGUGGGACAUCUGCUCUGUUACCAUACAGUGGUGAAACUGGGUAAUAAGUAACCAUCCCAAAAGUCUACUUGUGCUGAAAUUGUUAAGAGAUGCAUUUUUUCAAAAGUGAAUGUCUCUGGUAUGCAUUCUGUGCCCAAGUCAGAUCACUUUGAUGAAAAUAGAGAUAAAAUAGAUUUUAACUGAUCUUGGGUAACAAGUGUGAGAUUCUGAAAUCUGUGCUGUAGGUGCUAUGUAGCAUCAUAAUGUGAAGCUACUAAAACUGUGCUGUGAUCCUUGCCAAUCCAUCUAUGCAUUUUGGUACUUGAAAUUUGUUUUAAAUUUAGCCAUAAAAACCACCUCCAUCUUUUCAUGCUCUUUUCCAAUUGCAUUUUAAUUUCUUUUGCCCUACAUUUAAACAGUUUCUAUAGGAAUAUAUGCCCAUAUCAAGAUCAAUCACUUUGUUUCCUCAUUUAUUCUGUAACUAUAAAAUCUUUCCUGAUUAAAAUUAUUACAAGUAGUAAGAAUUACAGGAGUCCAGUUUAUUUAAAUUAUUUUUGAGGAACUGAAUAUUCAUGAUCAAUGAUAGAAAUAUUUCUUAAUAUGUCAAUAGCAGAAACCCCUUUGUCAUUAAUAAUAGGGUUGUAGAGGAAGGGUGAUUAACAGCAUAGGGCAUGUGUAGACAAAACGGAGACCCUAAAUUGAAGCGGUGUGUUUUUUAAAACACUGCUUCAAUGUAGGGCCUUUUAAACCCCCAUGUCGUGCACACACCUCACUGACUUACCUGCCUCUCCGGCAGUGGGGAAGGGAGAGCAAGCUGCUGGAGGGCUGAGUGGUCCCUGGGCUGUGGGGGGGAGGGGCUGGUGCUUUCCUCUGCGGCUGCGGUGCCUCCCCCCACCAGGUGGCACCCACUGAAAGGCACCAAGCUCAGUCGGUUCCAUGGGACACCGCAGCUGCAGAGGGAAGCACCAGGCUCUCGCGCAGCUCAGGCAGGCAGGCAGGCUCCAGGGGGAAAAAAAAAAAAGAUCAGGUUUACUGCUUGUCUUGGGCAGAGCCUGCCUUCCUAGGCUGCUACCAGGCUGCCUGCAGAGCUUCCAGCUGCACGGAGACCAGUGCUUCGCUCCACAGCUGUAGGAGCAGCAAACUAAAACUUUGUGGAGCUUUAGUUUGCUGUGCCCAAGUCAUUUAAGGCACAUUACGCCACUGAAUUUGCUACAGUGGCUGUAAUUAAUGCUUAAUACACUGCUGACACUUGCAAACACCGACACCAUUAAAGCAGUGCAAAAGCAUUUUGCCCUCUUUAAAGUGUUGUGCACACAUGCCCCUCGUUUCGUCUACACUCGGCCAUAUACAUCCAAGUACUCUGUCUCCCCUUUAACAGAAGGGUACAUCUGAUGUUUACUCUUUUGUACGACAGGGAGUGGACAUAGCCUUAAUACUCCCAUUUACUGCUCCUUACCACAUUUGUGCUCUUGAAAAUGCCAGUAUAUUUUGAACAAUUUCUUUGCCAGUUCCUAGCAAUGGAAUUAAUAUAAAGAUGGGAACAACGCUACUGAACUCAAUAGAUAAGCAGUUUCCUACGGUAAGGGAAGUACGUAUCUUUGGUCCAAUGCUUUUUAGCUCAUACUGAGUUCUUUAAGGAAACCUGGCAAAUAUUUUGUGUAAAUCUCUCUUGCUUUGUUAAAUGCUCCAGUCAGAAAGUUUACAUUUACAUACCAUAAGAUAUCAACAUGUGUCAGAGCACCACUGUGCAUAAAGCAUAAUGGAGCAAAAGGAAAGGAUCAGAUUAAAUUAAUAUUUUAGUUAAUGUCAAAGCUGUGUUUUAUAUGUUCUUAACUAGUAAGUUCCAUAAAUGUUUAUACUUGGUAUUCAGCAAGUAGGUCCCUCACACAAGUAGUAGACCACAAUUGACCUGUGUGCACUUUAUGGGGAUGAAUUUUCCAAUGUAUACAAAUAGGAGCUUCCUUGCUCUGAUAAUGCAGUUUAUAUAUAUGUACUAAUGACAACACCAGUGUGUUCCUAAUGUAAUGGAAAACAUUUUCACAUCUCAGUUGUGCUGACAUUGGGUAAGAAGGUCAGAUAAUAAGGACUGCAAUAACAAGGACCCUCUGUCCUAAGUUACUUAUUGAAAGUCCUGGGAUUGCAUAAAAUAGCUUUAUAUAUCAACGUGCAACCCACUUUUGUUCUGUGGGGAAGUUUGUUCCACUAGUAUAGUGGAUAGUAUAUUUCAUUUGCUUUUAUCAUAACCAGUAAAACAUUUUUUGAAUAAUGAAAGUGCUUUUACUUCCCAUAUAGAGAUAUUAUAAAAUUAUAUGUUAGAGGAUAAAAGCAUAAAAUCAACCGGCUUAUCAAAUGCCCAAUGUACAGGAAGUGAGCUGUUUAAACAAUAAAGAACAAACAUAUGGA